UACGUAGGGUGCAAGCGUUAUCCGGAAUUAUUGGGCGUAAAGAGCUCGUAGGCGGUUUGUCGCGUCUGCUGUGAAAACCCGAGGCUCAACCUCGGGCCUGCAGUGGGUACGGGCAGACUGGAGUGUGGUAGGGGAGACUGGAAUUCCUGGUGUAGCGGUGGAAUGCGCAGAUAUCAGGAGGAACACCGAUGGCGAAGGCAGGUCUCUGGGCCACUACUGACGCUGAGAAGCGAAAGCAUGGGGAGCGAACAGG
rnacentral:rRNA from 1 species